GGUGUUGUAGUUCCCAGAAGGAGCACGUGACAGAGCAAGGCUUGCUGGGAAGCAGGAGAAAGGACAGGUCCUAGCCCUCAGUAAGAAGAGAGCCUAGGUAGGGAGUAAGAAGUUGGGUAGAGGUUCCUCAUGCUGAGAGCUGGGGGAAGAAAGAACCUGGUGAAUAGCUACAGAGAGCUAGGCAAGUUGGGGAGCAGUGAUGCAUUAAUAGAGGUGAACCUGAAGAUUUAGAUAGCUGCAAGUUGGUGUGAGAUCAGUGGUGUGACCUUGAAGCCUGUUGUCUGCACCUGCUCGGUUUAGGGGCUCCAAGUUAAGGCUUCCAGAGAUAGAGAGGAAGUUGCACCCCUUGCAUUAGGGGGAUGACUGUGUCCCAGGGAGGCCAUGGAUCUGUGUUUUACUUGGACUUAAUUACCCAGGAAGAAGUAGCCUUUUAACCAAAACAAAAGCCUUCAUCACCCAACCAGCCAGAGGGAAACCUGCUGCCAUAAAGGUAAAAGGGCAUAUCAUGUCAGAAGUUUCUAAGAUUGAGGAAUUGUGUCUACAUGCUGAUGGCAUCAUAGGGCUCAUUAAGUUUCAACACUCGGUGAGGUAGGCAAAUUGCAUCUGAUAACACAACAGGACCCCAACCAACCACGAAGGAUCAAUUGGGUAUGAUGCUUUCUGCUGCUAAAUCUGGUAACACCCCCAAGUGAGGCAGACUCUAGAAAGAACUAGAAGACAAUAGAGAGCUACAGAGCAAAAUCCGUCUUUAACAGUACUCUAAUAUCAUGAAAAAUCCAGCCUUGCAGCCAAAUUGGAUAUAAUUCAAGAUUGUUUAAAUGAGCCAACUUCUACAUUGGUGCCGGCUGAGAAAACUAUUGAAGUAUUAUCUGUAUCGGCAGUGUAGCAAGAACCAAAAAAAAAAAAAGGUCUUUGCAAGCUGUGACAACCUCCGUUGGUGCAUGACAAUAUUGCCUUACGGCAGAAGCAAGGGAAUAUAAGAAACAAAGUGAAAUACUGUAGCCUUGGAGUGAUUAACUUUUCAAUGAAAAUAAAGGAAGAACCCUUUGACUACUUUUAAAUACUUUUUUUUUCUUUUGGAACAUAGAACAAUAUUGCUUCUUUUAUUUGUACUUGGAAGGAUUUUUUUUCUUUUUUUUUUUAAUAAAUACCAGCAACAGGGAUGGUGGCUUUGACAGCAUUGUCACAAUAGAAGCUGGAAAGAGGGGAGUGUCUUGCAAUUAAGUCUGGAUUACAGUAGAGGAAACACAUGGAUAAGAAAUGAACCUCUAAUUCCACUAAUCUUGUCUGGGUGGUGUUUUGUCUGUAGACCCAGGCCAUAUCACAUGAUAUGAUCCCAUGCAUGGAUUCUCAGGCUUGCUUGUCAGCCCAACAAUUUUUUUUUUCAGAAGGGGCACACUAUUAUCUUUAUCUGCUUUGUAGGGAUAGUGUGAGGUUUGUUUAAUGCUUUUUGAUCCUCUGUUGAGAAGGCUACAUAUAAAUGGGAAGUAUUAUUAAUGGUAGUAUUAAUUGCCUGCUAACUCAGCAUCCUAUUUAAUCUUC